AAAACUUGAUAUUUAUCUGGUAGGGUCAGUACUUUGACUCAGGUAACAAAAUUAAGUAUACCACUGGACAGGCUUAUUAGUUGCACUAUCUGCUUGGGUCACCAGACUGCAAUCAGGUAGUUGGUUAGUUCAGUGAUUCCCAAAGUACGGUGAAUGCCCCCUAUGGGGGUCACAGUGCCAUUGCAGUAUGCAGAUAGAAAAAAUAACAGUUACACAAAUGUUUCACUGUAACGAUGGUUUGUAGUGUGUUUUGUUCCAACCUGAAGUGUGAAAUAAACUUCAGUGGAGUUUAAAAACAAAAUAUGUAUAGGUUUAUGUCUGAAUGAUGUGUGUGCCCAGUUUUUUUGUUUUUCUUUUUGGGGGGAUUUUACUGUAAUCUAUAGGGCGGCCCAGAAAAUAUUUGACAACCACUGAGUUAGUUAGUUAGUUAGUUAGUUAGUUAGUUAGUUAGUUAGUUAGUUAGUUAGUUAGUUAGUUAGUUAGUUAGUUAGUUAGUUAGUUAGUUAGGGUAAGUUUCCACAGCAUGGCAGUGUGUGAAGCAGUAAGUAGAGGAGGGGCAAAGUUAAAGUACAGUACGCUCCAUGAAGUGCAAUGAACAAACCACAAUGGAUCUAAACAGUCUUUGUACUAGAAGCACCAUGACACCUUAAGAUGAGAAACCUCUAAGCACCGUUUUGUUGGCAAAGUGAGGACCUUGUAUUCUUGCUAUUAGACCUGUGGUCAUGAUUCUACUGUUGAACUCUUUAAGCCCUCAUAUUAAUGAGAUUGAGUUCUGCCUUUUCUGCUCUGCAUAAAUUUCACAGCCAUGACGAAGGGCAGAGUAAACGUGACUGUGUGUUUGGAGUCAUUUCCCAGAACUUUGACACAGUGGGAAGCAGCUCCUGUAAUUCAUUGACUCUGUAGUUUCAAGUGUCAUGAAGCAACACAGGUUAUGUAUCCGUAAGUCUUCUGCUCUUCUGCAUGUUUAUCAUUACUGUUCCUGUUAAAACGCUCAAAAGGUUUAAAAUGGAGCAGGAGACGCCAUGACUCGCUGAAGUUUGAUUCUGUUUAAACGUCUGAAGAAUUUUAUUGACAUUUCUCGACUAAGAAACUCAUCCAGUUUUCAUUCUGUUUGUUGUACAGGACACAAUGAAAGAUUAUUCCACAGAGCAGAGCAGGAAUCGACGGACAUCUUUUGAAACAGAUGAUGGUGUCCGAUGGAGAACUGGAUCUGAAUUUGCCAGCCCAGAUCACACCGAUGUUCCUAGCAGCAGGGUGUCCCACCCCUCCCUGUUUGGGAAAUACCAGCCCAGCCUGCAGACUCUCAAGCCCUUCCGCUGGUCUUCCCCACAAUCCCACCCUGUGGACAAUGCAGGCUUCUUGUCAUUUA